GGAUUUUUUUUUUAUAUUAUAUAUAAAAAUUAAUUUAAAAAAAUAAUUUACACUUAUUAUCUAUAUGUUUUGAGUCUUUUUUUAGCAAAAAGGUAAUUUUCAUUCAUAAAUAUCCAUAUAUAGAAUGUCUUUAGAAAUAUCUGAGUCUCAUUACUUGAAACAAUUAUUUUUUCUUUUUUAAUAAUUUUUUUAUUAAACAUGCUAUUUUCUUGUUGCAGGCAUCAAGAUUGAAAUGGCCAU
rnacentral:misc_RNA from 1 species